rnacentral:rRNA from 1 species
UACAUGCAAGUCGAACGCUUUUUCUUUCACCGGAGCUUGCUCCACCGAAAGAAAAGGAGUGGCGAACGGGUGAGUAACACGUGGGUAACCUGCCCAUCAGAAGGGGAUAACACUUGGAAACAGGUGCUAAUACCGUAUAACAAUCGAAACCGCAUGGUUUCGGUUUGAAAGGCGCUUUUGCGUCACUGAUGGAUGGACCCGCGGUGCAUUAGCUAGUUGGUGAGGUAACGGCUCACCAAGGCAACGAUGCAUAGCCGACCUGAGAGGGUGAUCGGCCACAUUGGGACUGAGACACGGCCCAAACUCCUACGGGAGGCAGCAGUAGGGAAUCUUCGGCAAUGGACGCAAGUCUGACCGAGCAACGCCGCGUGAGUGAAGAAGGUUUUCGGAUCGUAAAACUCUGUUGUUAGAGAAGAACAAGGAUGAGAGUAAAAUGUUCAUCCCUUGACGGUAUCUAACCAGAAAGCCACGGCUAACUACGUGCCAGCAGCCGCGGUAAUACGUAGGUGGCAAGCGUUGUCCGGAUUUAUUGGGCGUAAAGCGAGCGCAGGCGGUUUCUUAAGUCUGAUGUGAAAGCCCCCGGCUCAACCGGGGAGGGUCAUUGGAAACUGGGGAACUUGAGUGCAGAAGAGGAGAGUGGAAUUCCAUGUGUAGCGGUGAAAUGCGUAGAUAUAUGGAGGAACACCAGUGGCGAAGGCGGCUCUCUGGUUCUGUAACUGACGCUGAGG